UGGAAAAACAUCAACAAAGUGGCUGUAGUUUAGUGGUAAGAAUUC
rnacentral:sRNA from 1 species